rnacentral:rRNA from 1 species
AACGAACGCUGGCGGCAGGCCUAACACAUGCAAGUCGAGCGAGCAUUUCGGUGCUAGCGGCGGACGGGUGAGUAACGCGUGGGAACGUGCCCUUUUCUGCGGAAUAGUCCUGGGAAACUGGGGGUAAUACCGCAUACGCCCUUUUGGGGAAAGAUUUAUCGGAGAAGGAUCGGCCGCGUUGGAUUAGGUAGUUGGUGGGGUAAUGGCCCACCAAGCCGACGAUCCAUAGCUGGUUUGAGAGGAUGAUCAGCCACACUGGGACUGAGACACGGCCCAGACUCCUACGGGAGGCAGCAGUGGGGAAUCUUAGACAAUGGGGGCAACCCUGAUCUAGCCAUGCCGCGUGAGUGAUGAAGGCCUUAGGGUUGUAAAGCUCUUUCAGCUGGGAAGAUAAUGACGGUACCAGCAGAAGAAGCCCCGGCUAACUCCGUG